UACAGAGGUCCCAAGCGUUGUUCGGAUUCACUGGGCGUAAAGGGUGCGUAGGUGGUCGGGUAAGUCUGUUGUGAAAUCUCCGAGCUUAACUCGGAAAUGGCAGUGGAUACUAUCCGGCUAGAGGAAUGGAGGGGAGACUGGAAUACUUGGUGUAGCAGUGAAAUGCGUAGAUAUCAAGUGGAACACCAGUGGCGAAGGCGAGUCUCUGGACACUUCCUGACGCUGAGGCACGAAAGCGUGGGGAGCAAACAGG
rnacentral:rRNA from 1 species